UAAUAGAAAAACGUAUUUCAGUUAAGAACAAAAAAACUUCCAAUGAACUUCCGAAUAUUUUUUGGUAUUUUGUUGAUUGCAACACUAUUCUUAGCAACUAGUGGAACUACUAGCGGUGGUAAAGGUUGGGGCGAAAGUAUAUGUACUGGUAUUAGCUAUUUUUUUCGAAAACUUAUUAGCGGGUCCCUAAAACUGAACAGCCUUCCACGUUUCCCAAGAAAACCUAUACGUAUGAUGAUUUACCAGCUAUUAAUGCUCGUCAUUUAUAUCCAAGCUUAACACAGUAUCCUAAUAGCGGAUUUAAUUAUCAAUCUAAAAUUGAAACUUCAAAAACGGAUAAUAUACUUACUCAGAGCACUGAAUCAAAUACCAA